AUUUUUGGAGGACUGGCUCCUUGGCACUCCCAGGAUCAGACUUUGGAAGGACUGGCUCUUUGGGCAUGCCAACCACCAGAUUUUGGAAGGACUGGCUCCUGGGGCUGCCUGGGAUCACAUUUUGGAGGACUGGCUCUUUGGGGAUGCCCAGGAUCACAUUUUGGAAGGUCUGGCUCCUUGGGGAUGCCCACCACCAGAUUUUUGGAAGAACUGCCUUCCUGGGGUUGCCUGGGAUCACAUUUUGGAAGGACUGGCUCUUUGGUGCUGCCCACCACCAGAUUUUGGAACGACUGGCUCCCUGGAGCUGCCCAGGAUCAGAUUUUGGAAGACUGGCUACUCCCAAGAACCAGAUUUUUGGAUGACUGUCUCCCUGGGGAUGCCCACCACCAGAUUUUUGGAAGAACUGCCUUCCUGGGGUUGCCUGGGAUCACAUUUUGGAAGGACUGGCUCUUUGGUGCUGCCCACCACCAGAUUUUGGAACGACUGGCUCCCUGGAGCUGCCCAGGAUCAGAUUUUGGAAGACUGGCUACUCCCAAGAACCAGAUUUUUGGAGGACUGACUCUUUGGAGCUGCCCACCACCAGAUUUUUGGAAGGACUGGCUCUUUGGGGAUGCCCAGGAUGAGAUUUUUGGAGGACUGGCUACUCCCAAGAACCAGAUUUUUGGAGGACUGUCUCCCUGGGGCUGCCCAGAACCAGAUUUUUGGAGGACUGUCUCCCUGGGGCUGCCCACCCCCAGAUUUUGGAGGACUGUCUCCCUGGGGCUGCCCACCCCAGGUUCUGGCUGCAGACCCCCGCAGGGGGACACGGAGCCGUCCCUGGAGCAGCUCCCGAGGAGGAGGAAGGUGAUCUGCUGAUGGAUGCAGCAUUCCUGGCUUCUGGAAGAGUUUUCCCUCUCCUCCCCUCACCUGGACGAGCUCAGGUGGAUUUUUGCUUCUGAUCCCAGAGGAACCAACUCCAGCAGCUCCUGCAGGGCCGAGGCAGCGGAGCAGGCGUUUGCAGGCUUGUGGUUUUUGGGGUUUUUCUGGUUGUUUUUGGUUUUUUUAAAAUUUUUUUUCCUGGAAAUAGCACCUUCUGCUGCUGCUGCUCUGCCUAAACUUCUGCUCUGGAGCAGAAGCUGGGGAUGCUGUGCCAGGUGCUGCCCAGCCCCUUCCCUCCCCUGGGGGCUUCACAAAAAUCACUUUUUUUGGCCCCAAACAGCCUUGGCUGCGCGCAGACGCUUCAGAAACAACAACUGCGUUUUGUAAUUAUGUAAAAAACCCCCGUUGGGCGGGGGAGAGGGCGCGGGGAAGCUGUAAAUGUCUGUAAAUCUGUGGAAUAUAUACAUUUUUGCAGAGCUGGAGAUACAAAAAGGAGGAAUUCCCUCUGGCUGUGGCUUCGUUCCUGGUGGGAAGCGGCAUUCCUGUGGCUCCAGCCUUCCCUGGGGCGGCAGCAGUGGCCACAGCUGAUGUUUCUGUUGGGUUUUAAAUCUUUUUUUUUUAUUUUUUUUUCAAUUUUUUUGUCCCUUUUGGCGGGGGUGGGGGAGCUGGGGAAGUUCAUUCUGGCCGCUUCCUCCUCCUCUUCCUCCUCCUCCUCCUCCAAGCCGUGAGCCGUGCAGAGUAAAGAAUGUAAAAUUCACUUUACACCCAAAAAACGUCAAAUUUCUGCUUUCUGGGGCCGCUCCCUCAAGGUGGCUUCGAUGCCCAGGCCAGCUGUGGUUCCAUCAAUAAAUGUCAUUAUUUUUAUUUUUUA